rnacentral:rRNA from 1 species
UUGAACGCUGGCGGCAUGCCUUACACAUGCAAGUCGAACGGCAGCACGGGAGCAAUCCUGGUGGCGAGUGGCGAACGGGUGAGUAAUAUAUCGGAACGUGCCCGGUCGUGGGGGAUAACGUAGCGAAAGCUACGCUAAUACCGCAUACGAUCUAUGGAUGAAAGCGGGGGAUCGCAAGACCUCGCGCGAUUGGAGCGGCCGAUAUCAGAUUAGGUAGUUGGUGAGGUAAAGGCUCACCAAGCCGACGAUCUGUAGCUGGUCUGAGAGGACGACCAGCCACACUGGGACUGAGACACGGCCCAGACUCCUACGGGAGGCAGCAGUGGGGAAUUUUGGACAAUGGGCGCAAGCCUGAUCCAGCAAUGCCGCGUGCAGGAUGAAGGCCUUCGGGUUGUAAACUGCUUUUGUACGGAACGAAACGGUGAGCUCUAAUACAGUUUGCUAAUGACGGUACCGUAAGAAUAAGCACCGGCUAACUACGUG